rnacentral:rRNA from 1 species
UACGUAGGGUGCGAGCGUUAAUCGGAAUUACUGGGCGUAAAGCGUGCGCAGGCGGCUUCGCAAGUCAGGCGUGAAAUCCCCGGGCUUAACCUGGGAAUGGCGUCUGAAACUACGGAGCUGGAGUGUGGCAGAGGGAGGUAGAAUUCCACGUGUAGCGGUGAAAUGCGUAGAUAUGUGGAGGAAUACCGAUGGCGAAGGCAGCCUCCUGGGCCAACACUGACGCUCAUGCACGAAAGCGUGGGGAGCAAACAGGAUUAGAUACCCUGGUAGUCCACGCCCUAAACUAUGUCAACUAGUUGUUGGGGGAGUUAAAUCCCUUAGUAACGCAGCUAACGCGUGAAGUUGACCGCCUGGGGAGUACGGUCGCAAGAUUAAA